UGAAAGAGCUUUUAUUUUGAUAGAUAUUGCGCCCUGUUUUUCCAGCCUGUCAGUCCAGCCCUAAUCACAUAUAUUCUCAUUAUGUGAAUCGGAGACGUUAAUUAGGGUUAAGGUCAGCCUGGUGAAGUGUAAUCGCUCGCUAUCAACCAUCAUAAAUUAUGGCGAGCAGCCAUGAAAUGAUAUUUACGGCUGUGGCUAUGGCGGCGGCGGCGGCUAUUAGCCGUGCCGCUUAACCAAUGAAAUCCUCGCCAUAGUCCGCCAGGGGACGUCGUCCACGGCCGGGGUCGAAGGUUAGAACCCCCGCCUAAAUCCGUCUGAUGCUGCCGUGUGCGCAUGCGAUUACUCGUGCAUGUCUGCGACCCAGAUGUGUGUUUAAUUGGUGGAGCUACGCGCACACACACACACACACACACGAGGCCAGCUAUUAAUCUGUGACGGAAGGAAAGACAAUGGCACGUGAGGGGAAGCCACACCCACCGCGCUCUAAUUGCGUAGAGGGGAGUCGGGGGCUGUCAGGCCCGAGGAACACUGUGGCUCUGACAACUUUAAUUGGUAGUUGUCUUGUAUAUCCCUGUCUUCAUUAGCAGCCCGAGACCACCUACUUCUGCACACACACACACACACACACACACACAGACACACACAGGCGCGGUUAUUGCCAGAAAGGUCAUUAGACGUGCUCGGUUUGAUAGCAGAUUGUGAUCCAGAACGGCCGGCGUUCCGCGGUAACCUUCCAUGGAAAAAAAGGUAUUUCCAUUGACUUUAAUUCACAGGGCCUGAAAACCUGUUGCCGUGCGUGCCGUAGAGGAGCCGUGGGUUUUUAAAUUAAGCAAUUACAACAGAACAGCCGAAAUAUUUACGCCCCCCCCCCCCACACACACACACACACCCGUCCCUCCAUUUCCUCCCCAAAACACAUUGAUCAACAGACCAGAAGAAAAGAGUUACUUCCAUUUUAAUUUUGUUUUCAUUCAAAUCCGACAGCUGUGCUUCCCACCAUCUGGAUGCAGGACAGUUGUGCGUUGUUCAGCCGUUGUUACUCACGCAAACAACCUGCUGGUGCGAAACCACGAGCCGCUCAUCUGGUGACUGGGCCGCUGUGUCGGGACGCACGCCGGAGUCAAAGGUUCUGCAACCCCCCCCCCCCCCCAUGGAGAAGGAGGAGAGGGAUACUAAAUGAAGCCAGGAAGCUGGUUCUCAGAAUGUUUCUCCCGCUAACGCGUGUCAGACGGUACGACCGGCUCUUUGAGUCCUUCACCUCUUUCUGGACCAGCUUCCUGUCGAGCAGCUCCAGAAACCUCCGGCAAUCCUAAAGUGAGCGUCAGCCAUCCACACACGAAGCCCGAGAAAGAGACAGCAGAGAGAAAAGGAACAAAAGGCUUGCUGGCGCUGAAUGAUGCUGUGAGGUGAAGGUGUGCUGCUGCCGCUGUGAUCCCCCGAGUUGCACCUCGGUCUAAUAAAAGCCUUCACAUCAGGAGGCCCGAUGCCUGGCUCAUUGAUCCGCGCGCUGCAGGUGAUGUACUGUUACAUUUGGGGUUGAACAGACACGCAAAAAAAACACAGACCGCCGGAAAGCUGAGUUGAAACAUCCAUCUUUGUUCUGCAAAGAGAACUGUGGCUUCCUGUUUGCUGUUGUGUCCUUCAGAAUAAAAUACCUCUCGUGGUGGUUGCAUGCUCCUCUUGACUGUGUCUCUUUGGGGGUCGUGGUCCUAAAAGCCAGUAUCGGGGAGAUGUUUCGCAAGGAUUUAAGGCUGGAGGAGACGGGAAAACAUUUAAAUAAAACAAAUGCUAAAAUAAAUGAAUUUGUUAAACAUU